rnacentral:tRNA from 2 species
GCGGGAGUAGCUCAGAGGCAGAGCGCCUGCCUUCCAAGCAGGAUGUCGCGGGUUCGAAUCCCGUCUCCCGCUCCA